rnacentral:ncRNA from 2 species
UAUUCUUUGCCGCGCUGAGGUUUUCAUCUUUCCAUGCGAAUGGAAAGAUGGAAUCAAAAGGGAAGCCGGUGCGAAUCCGGCGCUGCCCCGCAGCGGUAUGUGGAAACGAACUCCGCCAGAAGCACUGGGAUCGCACCCGGGAAGCGGCGGACAGUAGACCGCGCCUUGCGCCCGUCCACGAGCCCGAAGACCUGCCUCAAGCCGACAGCCGCC